AACGAACGCUGGCGGCGUGCCUAACACAUGCAAGUCGAGCGAGAAAGUCCGCAAGGAUGAGUACAGCGGCGCACGGGUGCGUAACACGUGGGUAAUCUGCCCUGAAGCCCGGAAUAACCUCCCGAAAGGGAAGCUAAUGCCGGAUAAGACCACGGGAGCCUUGGCUCCUGCGGGAAAAGGUGGCCUCUGUACACAAGCUAUCACUUCAGGAUGAGCCCGCGGCCCAUCAGCUCGUUGGCGGGGUAACGGCCCACCAAGGCUACGACGGGUAGCUGGUCGGAGUGGACGAUCAGCCACACUGGAACUGAGACACGGUCCAGACGCCUACGGGAGGCAGCAGUGGGGAAUCUUGCGCAAUGGGCGAAAGCCUGACGCAGCAACGCCGCGUGUGUGAUGAAGGUCUUCGGAUCGUAAAGCACUGUCGGGAGGAAAGAACAAGCCUGUGGCUAACAUCCACGGGCCUUGACGGUACCUCCAAAGGAAGCACCGGCUAACUCUGUGCCAGCAGCCGCCGUAAGAC
rnacentral:rRNA from 1 species